rnacentral:piRNA from 1 species
UAUAUAGUUGUAAAUGUAUUU